UCUCUCUAAUUUUCACAAACACACACGCCCAAUUCGCAAUUUCUCACACAAAACAGAAAUAACAAAUAGACUCCCAUCUCCCUCGUUCCAAAAUCAGCGCCGCUGCUGCUGUCACGGCCUCUCCGUCGCCGCAGCUGCCCUCCGUUCACAGCCGAAUGUCACACUGUCUCCCUCUCUUCCUAGUCCAGAUACGUUUUCCCUUUUCCCCUUUAAUUCUCUAUUAAGUUUUUCUCAUUUGUUUGAUUCAAACAUUAUUGGCCAGGCAGAAGGUUUUCAAGAAUUGGGGUUGAAAAGGAAACAAGAGGACAACUUCUAAUAAUAUUAAAGUUUGCAAUUUUAUCAGAAACAAAUCAUUCAACAAUAUCUGGAAAUUCAACAAGAGUCUAAGUUCCAUUCAUGAACUACUGUGAAUGUUUGAAUAUAUAUCAUGGAAUACAGGGGAUUCAGAAAAUAGAGGAUAUACCUUUGGAAAGAAGCAAAAUUUCACAGACAGAAGAAAAAUGUACAAAAUAUGUUGAUGUGCAGCAGCCUUGGUUUGAGACAAUUUUACUGGAGAUUUUGAGGUCCAAUCAUAUCCUAAUACAUAUCAAUCUCUUCGUCUUUGAAAGAGCUUAACGUGGGUAUCUUGCACGCCUCAAUCGGAGUUCGGUAGAAGAAGUUAUGGCCGUUAUAAGAACAUUGCGCUGUCCAGAAAAUUUCACACUGCCGGGUGAAUUAUUACCCUAUAAAUUCACCCGGCCGGGUAUCACAGAUUCAGCAUUGAAGAGUCAGAAAGGGGUCGAAAAGUGUCACGCGGCCAGGUGAAUUUUACCCUUAUAAAUUCACUCGGUCGAGUGCGCUGUUUUGGCGAAUUAAGGGUUAAGAUCCAUUUUACACUUAUCGCCUACCACACUCUACACACCCCCAAGAACACCUUUGAGAGAGAGAUUUGAAGAUUGAAGCUUCACUCCAUAGAUCUAUCUCAUAGGAGUACUUAGUAUCUUUUAUUCUUGUAUUUGUUGGAUUCAUUUGUGUUAAACUUGGUAUUCACCAUGAACAUGAGUAGCUAAACCUUUCUUGUAGAAUUCUUGGUGAUGAUGCACUAAUAUCAUAGUUUUUAUUCAAUCAA